GAACUGGUGACUUGAUGAUGAUCUCAUUGUUUUAUACCACAAAUUACUGACGUCGCAAGGCAAGAGAUUUGUUAACACUCAGUAAUUCAGAAUAAGAUUUCCGGAGCUCUUCGACGCGAAUAAACCUAAAAAUUAUGAGUUUAAAUCAACGAACACUCAACGUACCGUCGUCCGCAUGAAUUCCUUCAUAUCAGGAGCAUUCGACAAUGACUUCGUCGCAAUCAUGCAGAUAGAAGAGUUGAUGACUAAGAGUGUUAUGUUGGAGACAUACAGAACUUGUCGACCACGGUUAGACGAAAUAAACAGUACAAGAGCUAACGAACACGUACAGGAGUUUAUCGAUGGCCCGGAAGUGGCGAAAUUCAUUACCGACGUGAGUAGGCGGUUAGGUUUCGCGAACAACAUCGAUAAAUUGGACGAUUCUAGCUGACAUUUUCGACUUGUACGACAUGUGUCGCUUCGAAAAAAAUUGGUAUCCAGACAGGUUGUCGCUCUGAUGCGCCGCAUUUACAGACGAUGAGAUGCGCGUCUUUGAGAACGAGGAUCUCUUUUACUACUAUAACGCCGGCCACGGACUGAAAAUCAAUAUACAAUUUGGAUGUCGCACUAUGCUAGACAUGUUCGAUCGUUUCGCGAAAUUGGAGCACGCGAAAGACACCGACGAACCAAAGGGCUCGUUCUACUUUUCGCAUUCGAUAGAGGCGAUGCUGUUCUUUACCUCGAUGAAUAUCGGCAAGGACACCUAAAAAUGGACAGGAUACCUAAAAAUUACAAGGAUAU